rnacentral:rRNA from 1 species
GACGGGGGGGGCAAGCGUUAAUCGGAAUUACUGGGCGUAAAGCGUGCGCAGGCGGUUUUGUAAGUCUGACGUGAAAUCCCCGGGCUCAACCUGGGAAUUGCGUUGGAGACUGCAAGGCUAGAAUCUGGCAGAGGGGGGUAGAAUUCCACGUGUAGCAGUGAAAUGCGUAGAGAUGUGGAGGAACACCGAUGGCGAAGGCAGCCCCCUGGGUCAAGAUUGACGCUCAUGCACGAAAGCGUGGGGAGCAAACAGG